AAAAGAAGAUCGCUUCACGGAGAAAGGAGAGAGAGAUCGUGAGAAAAGAGAGACAAAGAAAUAGAGAGACAGAGAUAGAGAGAAGGGCGCCAGCCAGACCAAAUCUUCUGCCAUCACCAUAGAGAAGGAGGAAAAAAAAACCUUGCGAUAUAGAGAUGAGAA